UGUAAAUCCUCACUCCUGUAGUGAGCAACCUGGCCCCUAUAACCCACCAUUGACUUAUUUGAUCAAACCCAGCAUGUGCGUGUGAAGUAGUUUCAGGUUUGUUACCCAUAGGCAGUGGGAAACAACUUCUCCUAGCAGUGUCAUGUAGAGCUCCAUUUGUCUUUGGUUUGAUGGUUCCAGUCAUUUGAAGGCUUCUAAGUGCGGAGUCCUAGUGGUUGUUUACAUCAACGAUGGCUGAGAAGACUGCCCAGGUUCAACGAGUGACAAAUCAUUACUGACUGUACAAUGUAAUUAAAAAAAACACAGGCAUUGAUUAGCAAUGAGCUAAACCUGAGACCAAAAAGUGAGAGACCUAGAAUAGCUGGCAGAACUUCUCAUUGGAUCUGUCUGAAAUGGAAGAUGUUUGCCCCUGCAGGCAUGGCGUGACGCCCAUUGUGCAUUUCCAUUAGAGACCCGCACUGAAUCUGAACAUGCCAUUGAUGUUGGCCUAUUUAUGAAAGGCUGUUGAAAGAGAUUUCAGAGCUAAUUGAAAAGAGAUGUUUCUGAACUGCAGUCACUUCAAACAACAUGGCUCCAAAAUCUGUUCCAAUCAUUUGGAAAUUGGUGUGUUUCUAUAAUUUGCACAUAAAAUUAAAUGAAUGAUUUGAAAUGAAUACUUCAUCCUCAUUUGGUAAGACUUUGUUCUUUAAGAACAUUAUUAAUUGGACAGUCAGCUGAGUUUACUUAAACAGUUCCUGCACACAUCUAUCUGUGUUUCUAUUAUGUCGUCAAUGCCUGUUUUGGGGGAUGUCAACUGCAGUUGCCCAGAUCUACCUUGUCUAGAGACAAAGCACAUAAUUUGAACAGGAUACUGUUAACUAGUAUUCAGUUAAACUUUGUAUCUUCUAGGAAAUAAUAUAUUUUUUUAAAUGCCUACUUUGCAAAAGAAAAAAGUAACAAUAACCAAACAACAACUAUACAUUCUUCCACAAGAUUUUUCUGAACAUGAAAAACUUGAGGGCAAGCUGAACCUCAACAAUACUGAAAAUUGAGUGAAUUUAUGAGAACAGAAUGCAAACAUUAUUAUUAAAAAAUGUUAUCCUCCAGGCAGUUUUCAAUCAAGAUGUGAAAGCAUUAAUAAACAUUGAUUUCUCCCCUAA